rnacentral:lncRNA from 10 species
GGGGAUAUAAAAAUAAUGCAUUGUAUGCCGGAAGGGAUAAAUCUGGGGCUGAGUACAAGCAAAACAAGACCAAAGGAAGCUACCUGAGCAGUCACUGGAGCCCUAAUGAUCGCAGCCAUUUCAGGAAAUGCCAUCAAUUACAGUGAGGAGCUCAUUCAGAAGUGAAAGAUGAGUUCCAUUCUCUGUUACUUAGAGUUUUACGGCCCCUAC